UACGGAGGGGGCUAGCGUUGAUCGGCAUUACUGGGAGUAAAGAGCGCGUGGGCGGCUUACCAAGUUGGGGGUGAAAGCCCGGAGCUCAACUCCGGAACUGUCUUCAAAACUAGUAGGCUCGAGUCCGGAAGAGGCACGUGGAAUUCCCAGUGUAGAGGUGAAAUUCGUAGAUAUUGAUAAGAACACCGGUGGAGAAGGCGGCGCCCUGGUCCUGUACUGACGCUGAGGCGCGAAAGCGUGGGGAGCCGAAAGG
rnacentral:rRNA from 1 species